AUUGAACGCUGGCGGCAUGCCUUACACAUGCAAGUCGAACGAGUGGCGGACGGGUGAGUAACGCCUGGGAACCUACCUGGUGAUGGGGGAUAACUGCUGGCAACGGUAGCUAAUACCGCAUACCAUCAGAGCGGCCGAGGUGGGAUUAGCUGGUUGGUGGGGUAACGGCCCACCAAGGCGACGAUCCGUAGCGGGUCUGAGAGGAUGAUCAGCCACACUGGAACUGAGACAUGGCCCAGACUCCUACGGGAGGCAGCAGUGGGGAAUUUUGGACAAUGGGCGCAAGCCUGAUCCAGCCAUGCCGCGUGUAUGAAGAAGGCCUUCGGGUUGUAAAGGACUUUUGUCAGGGAAGCGUUACCUGAAGAAUAAGCACCGGCUAACUACGUGCCAGCCGCCGCGGUAAUAC
rnacentral:rRNA from 1 species